rnacentral:tRNA from 1 species
AAAGUAUUAGUUAAAUCUAAUAACAUUAAAAUGUCAUUUUAAAAUUAUUAACUUAUAUUAAUAUACUUUA